CCCGCUGACACCUCCGUUUCCUGCCGAACCUUGGGAUGAGUGGCUGAACCAGCGCCAACGGAGCCUGAGGAUCUGCUUCACAUCAAAUUCCUUCUUCGCUGACAUUCUCCUCUGGCUUUGGAGACGAGGGUAAUAGUACGUGAUGGAGAGCAGUCCUCUGCAGCUUUUGUUCUAAGCAGCCUCCCUCCAAGUCUUCUCCUCUGCCUUCCUCCCUCUCAUUGCCUCCUGUACUGCCACUGCUGAUCCUGCUGCUGCUGCACCACUGGAGCUGAUACUGUGAGUUUUCACAACAAGUGAGUUGGAGUAUCACAGAGGAAGCAUGAGGAGCACACACAGCAUAACAAAGCAAAGCAUUGCCUGCUAAAGACUACUACAGCUCCAGUUGCCGAGAUGAAAGGCCAAACUUGCACUCAAACUGCUUGGAUUUAGCACCGCAAAAGCUCUCAUCCGCCUCCGCCGCCUCUCACCGCAUGAUGGGAAGUGUGUGGGCACUGUCAACCAAAAGGUUAUUUUCAACCAACUCCCGUGUCCAUUGGUAUCAGACUAAGCCCCGCAUGCCAAGCUGCCAUUGGAACAAGAACAGGUGGAAGGCCAUUCAAAGAGCUACAGAGCAGAAGGAUUAUGGGCAUGCCGGAACCAUUCCCAGGUGAGGCAGGCCCAGAGGUGGGGGACACCUUGAACUGGUCACCAGCCAAUCGCAGGGCAAUAUUUUACAUUACAUGGGAGAAAAAAGGAGCCCAACAGCUGCGUGUCAUGUGCGAGGCAGUCAACCCCCACUACGGACACGACGAGACAUUCCAAAUACAAGCAUUGGCCGGACGAGGUGGCAGUGGCCGCAGGGUGGAUUGUAUCCAAGGCCUUUUAAAAAUGUUCACACAUAAUGGUUGCAUGUUUAUAUGCAACUGGAGAAUGUGUAAACUCCCCUCACUUUUGUAUCUGCAAACCUCUUUUAUGUCCUCCCUCUUUUUGAGUGUUUCUUUGUGCCAAAUUUAGGGAGACAUCCUCUGAAUGGCUGUCAAGUGAAGGAUUCUAAAAAACUACAGCACAGUUGCUGUCAGCUUGAUUGAUGACUUGAUUGACGCUUAUUUCGAACAUGGAACUGAAUAAAAAACACAAA